CCCCUCUUAGGAUUGCACUUGGAGAGUUUCCAGAACUCUACAGUCUCGACUAAGGGAGUGGGAGUCAAGCAGAGGCCUACCCAUUCCAUUCCUAGCUUGUCCAGUGGCUAGUGAGUGGAAGGCAAUCUGCUGCAAGA